rnacentral:rRNA from 1 species
GUCUGCCAUCAGACCACCAUGAGCACAUCCCAUCCCGUCUCAUCUCAGAAGCUUAGUGGGGUUGGAUCUGGUUAGUUCUUGGAUGUGAGAAGCAGCAGACU